UACGGAGGGUGCAAGCGUUAUCCGGAUUCACUGGGUUUAAAGGGUGCGUAGGUGGGUUGGUAAGUCAGUGGUGAAAUCUCCGUGCUUAACAUGGAAACUGCCAUUGAUACUACUGGUCUUGAAUUUUCUGGAGGUAAGCGGAAUAUGUCAUGUAGCGGUGAAAUGCUUAGAUAUGACAUAGAACACCAAUUGCGAAGGCAGCUCGUUACACGAAGAUUGACUCUGAGGCACGAAAGCGUGGGGGAUCAAACAGG
rnacentral:rRNA from 1 species